GGGUUCAGUGUGGUGUUGAGCAGAGACAUGUAAAGACCUAAACCUGGAGAUAUCUCCUUGCCUGUACCUUUGCUGUGUAUGUGACAAGAUGGGACAUAAUCAACGGGAGAAGUCCCAGACCUGGGGUGGAGUGCCAGAGAUCAAGGUUCUCACUCCACUUGUGAGCUGCUUGUUGGAGCUGGCUGGAGAGGACAUGGACUGUUCCUGCAGUGCCGGGAUUGGUGAGUAGAACAUGCCACAGCUAAUGCUCUUUAGCAAAUCAGCAUCUUACAGCAACUUGUGUUACCAUCACUGCCUCUGCAAACAUGAGCACAGCUUCCAGCAGCAUCUAAAUAGCAAUAGCAAAGACAAAGUGUGGAAUGGAUCACAACAACAAAGGAUGAGGAGCUGAUGAGGACACCCAAAGAUAGAAAUCUGCUGUCCAGAGUUGCAGCAUUGUUUCAGUCUCUGUUGUGGUACCUGAGCAUUUACACCAAUUGGGAUUGGCAUACAAAUAUAGAUUGCUUUUUUGAA